UACGUAGGGGGCGAGCGUUGUCCGGAGUUACUGGGCGUAAAGCGCGUGUAGGCGGUUGUCCAAGUUGGAUGUGAAAGCCUUGAGCUUAACUCAAGAAAUGCAUUCAGGACUGGAUGACUAGAGGACCGGAGAGGAUAGUGGAAUUCCCAGUGUAGUGGUGAAAUACGUAGAGAUUGGGAAGAACACCAGUGGCGAAGGCGGCAUCCUGGACCAAUAUUGACGCUGAGGAGCGAAAGCCAGGGGAGCAAAGCGGG
rnacentral:rRNA from 1 species